GCUUAGCCCUAAACAUAGGUAAUACUAAUACAAUAUUACCCGCCAGAGAACUACAAGCGAAAAGCUAAAAACUCCAAGGACUUGGCGGUGCUUCAAAUCAACCUAGAGGAGCCUGUCCUAUAAUCGAUACUCCCCGUUUUACCUUACCCCCCCUAGACAAUCAGCCUAUAUACCGCCGUCGUAAGCCUACCUUGUGAAAGAAGCAAAGUAAGCAAAAUAGCUAAUAACAAAUACGUCAGGUCAAGGUGUAGCACACGGGGCGGCAGAGAUGGGCUACAUUUUCCCAAAUAACAUACGAAUAACACAUUGAAACAAUCUGUUUGAAGGCGGAUUUAGUAGUAAGAUAGACAAGAAAGCCUAUCUUAAACCUGCCCUGAAGCGCGC
rnacentral:rRNA from 1 species